UGGUGUGAACCUGGGAGGCAGAGCAUGC
rnacentral:piRNA from 1 species